rnacentral:rRNA from 1 species
CUUGAACGCUGGCGGCAGGCCUAACACAUGCAAGUCGAACGAGUGGCGGACGGGUGAGUAAUUUCUGGGAACCUGCCCGAUGGAGUGGGAUCACUCCUGGAAACGGUAGCUAAUACCGCAUACCAUCGGAUGUGCCCAGAGGGGAUUAGCUAGUAGGGUGGGUAACGGCUCACCUAGGCGACGAUCCCUAGCUGGUCUGAGAGGAGGACCAGCCACACUGGAACUGAGACACGGUCCAGACUCCUACGGGAGGAAGCAGUGGGGAAUAUGGCACAAUGGGCGCAAGCCUGAUGCAGCCAUGCCGCGUGGAUGAAGAAGGCCUUCGGGUUGUAAAGUACUUUCAGCGAGGAGGCGUUACUCGCAGAAGAAGCACCGGCUAACUCCGUGCCAGCCGCCGCGGUAAUAC